CAGCAUUCUUGACAGGCAGAGCCCAGGAUGGGGCAGUCCCGAUGUAAACCCACAGUUUCGAGGAACCAGUUGGCCUUGGACCUCUCUGAAGAGCUCUGGAACCAGAAGGGGCUGGCGGUCCUCUAAGUCACCUUAGCCUACCUGGAGAGACCUCCGAGGCGGGAGGGCCUCCUCAGUGAGCACAUUACUCCGAUUUUCCUGGAAGUCACUCUACAGUCGUGAGGGUUCCAGCCUUCUGAUGAAGCCAACGCUGAGUGUGGCAGAGAGGAGGGACGGAAAGGGACAAGCUCCCUCAGGAUCUCAGCGAGCUGCUUGACCACGCUGCUGGACUCUUCCUGGGUAGCUGGCAAACUGCCAAAUUAUUUCAUCUGGCUGGGGUUGGACUUGUGAUUGAGGCAGACAGCAUUGUAACCUAAACCCUCCCCAUAGCUGCGUUCACUUCUUUCAUCACAUGUUAACACCCCUACAAAAUCAAUGUAUUACCUUGCAAAAGUUGUUGAAAAAGAGCCACUUUUGGAGAAGGUGUUCUGUGGAAGCAACCAUUCCUUAUGCUCUUUGUCACUAAGCUCUCCAGGGCACUGUACUGCUGCCAGAUUUGAGAACCACUGCUCAGGUGCAACUCUAUUUCAGAGUGUGCCCAGGAAUCACAGGCAAGGCAGCCCAGCGCAGAUAAAGAGAAGUUGAUUGAAGGGAAUCAACAUCAUGUGUGUUUCUUAUUCCUACAGAUGCAUAAUCAAAUAUAUAAGUAAAAAUUGACAUUUCCUUUGAGAACUACUUGGACAGUGACCUGAACAUCUCAAGAAAAACCUUGGUGGAAUUGCAUGAACCUGAUUUGGGUCAAAAUUAAGCACCACGCUGAAAAUCAUGCCUUUGUGAAAUGACAAAUUGAAAGUGUUCAGAAAUUGCAUUUGAACUAGUUGAGAUCCUGAUACAGAUUCUCUCCAUUGCUUUCUUGGCUUUAACACUUCAGUGAAGCAAUCUGCCUUGUUGAGAGGCCCACAUGGCAAGGAACUGAGGGCAGCCCCUGACCAACAGCCAGCCAGGAACUGAAGAUGUCAGUCCAACUACCCCUGAUGAACUGAAUCUUGAACCACGUGAGCUUGGAGUGCAUCCUUCCCAGUUGUGCCAUGAGAUGAGAGCACGGCACCAGUCAACAGUGUGACUGUUCUUUGAGAAAGACACCAAAGCAGAGGGGACAGCUAAGCCAUAUCCAGAUUUUUCACCCACAAAACUGAGAUAAUACAUGUGUGCUUUUUAAACUGUUAAAUUUUGGGACAAUUUGUUAUGCCACAAUAUAUAAUUAAUACACAAGGUUUUUGGCAACUGGAAGAAUAAAAAUAGUAUUUAUGAUAUCACAAGAUGAGUGUAGGUAGAGGGUUUCUUUACAGGGAGAUUUCAGGGUUUCUUUUUUUUUUUGGUGAUGGAGUCUCGCCCUGUUGCCCAGGCUGGAGUGAAUUGGCUCAAUCUCGGCUCACUGCAACCUCCACUUCCUGGGUUCAGGUGAUUCUCCCACCUUAGCCUCCUGAGUAGCUGAGAUUACAGGCACCUGCCAUCAUGCCUGGCUAAUUUUUAUAGAGACGGGGUUUCACCAUGUUGGCCAGGCUGGUCUCGAACUCCUGACCUCAGAUGAUCCACCCAGGCUGGAGUGAACUGGCGCAAUCUCGGCUCACUGCAACCUCCACUUCCUGGGUUCAGGUGAUUCUCCCACCUUAGCCUCCUGAGUAGCUGAGAUUACAGGCACCUGCCAUCAUGCCUGGCUAAUUUUUAUAGAGACGGGGUUUCACCAUGUUGGCCAGGCUGGUCUCGAACUCCUGACCUCAGAUGAUCCGCCUGCCUCGGCCUCCCAAAGUGUUGGGAUUACAGGCGUGAGCCUCUGCACCCAGCUGAUUGCAAGUUUUGGAUAUGUACAAUGCACAUAAGUAUCUAUUUUUGUGAUAAUACUUCUCACUAAUUUUUCAAAUGGUAGUUAGCUACCAAUAUAUAGAAUCUAAAUACUCUCCAUGAGCCACCUUAAAACAAAGUUAUUUAAGGCAUCUUCAAAAAUCAGAUUCUAGGCCGGGUAUGAUGGCUCACACCUGUAAUCCCAGCACUUUAAGAGGCCGAGGCAGGUGGAUGGCUUGAGCCCAGGAGUUCAAGACCAGCCUGAGCAACAUACAGAAACCCCGUCUCUAUUAAAAACACAAAAAUUAGCUGUGCGUGGUGGUGCUUGCCUGUAGUCCUAGCUACUUGGGAGGCUAAAGUGGGAGGAUCACUUGAGCCCAGGAAGUUGAGGCUGCAGCGAGCCGUGAUCACGCCGCCGCACUCCAGUGUGGGUGAUGGGAGUGAGACCCUGUCUAAAAAAAAAAAAAAAAUCAGAUGUUAUAAUAAUUUUAGUCAUAAUUAUUUCUGGAAAUGGAAAACAUCAAAUACAGUACCAACCCAUGAAUUCUGAUGUCUCACUUUUAGAAUUUCUCUAUUCUUUGCUUUCAAUUUGCACAAAAACC
rnacentral:lncRNA from 1 species